UUGAACGCUGGCGGCAGGCCUAACACAUGCAAGUCGAGCGCGAAAGGUCUUCGGGCUGAGUAAAGCGGCGGACGGGUGAGUAACGCGUGGGAAUCUGCCCAGUAGUGGGGGACAACAGCCGGAAACGGCUGCUAAUACCGCAUACGCCCUACGGGGGAAAGGGGGGGAUCUUCGGACCUCUCGCUAUUGGAUGAGCCCGCGUCGGAUUAGCUAGUUGGUAGGGUAAAGGCCUACCAAGGCGACGAUCCGUAACUGGUCUGAGAGGAUGAUCAGUCACACUGGAACUGAGACACGGUCCAGACUCCUACGGGAGGCAGCAGUGGGGAAUAUUGGACAAUGGGGGAAACCCUGAUCCAGCCAUGCCGCGUGUGUGAAGAAGGCCUGAGGGUUGUAAAGCACUUUCAGUGGGGAGAAAGGUUUGUCACCUAAUACGUGAUGAAAUUGAUGUUACCCACAGAAGAAGCACCGGCUAACUCCGUGCCAGCCGCCGCCGUAA
rnacentral:rRNA from 1 species